rnacentral:rRNA from 1 species
CUGCAUGGCGUGUCGUCAGCUCGUGCCGUGAGGUGUGGUUAAGUCCCGCAACGAGCGCAACCCUACUUUUUAGUUGCCAUCAGGUUAAGCUGGGCACUCUAAAGAGACUGCCGUCGAUAAGGCGGAGGAAGGUGGGGACGACGUCAAGUCAUCAUGGCCCUUAUGUCUAGGGCUACACACGUGCUACAAUGGGUUAUACAGAGGGCAGCUAGCUCGCGAGAGUCUGCGAAUCCCUUAAAGUAAUCCUCAGUUCGGAUUGUAGUCUGCAACUCGACUACAUGAAGUUGGAAUCGCUAGUAAUCGCAGGUCAGCAAAACUGCGGUGAAUACGUUCCCGGGCCUU